rnacentral:rRNA from 1 species
UACGGAGGGGGCUAGCGUUGUUCGGAAUUACUGGGCGUAAAGGGUGCGUAGGCGGCUAUCCAAGUCAGACGUGAAAGGCCUGGGCUCAACCCGGGAACUGCGUUUGAGACUGGGUGGCUGGAGUCCGGGAGAGGUGAGCGGAAUUCCCAGUGUAGAGGUGAAAUUCGUAGAUAUUGGGAAGAACACCGGUGGCGAAGGCGGCUCACUGGCCCGGUACUGACGCUGAGGUGCGAAAGCGUGGGGAGCAAACAGG